rnacentral:tRNA from 1 species
GCGGACAUAGCUCAGUUGGGAGAGCGUCAGACUGAAGUUAACUUCGAUCACUUAAUCUGAAGGUCGUGUGUUCAAUCCACACUGGCCGCA